AUUGAACGCUGGCGGCAGGCCUAACACAUGCAAGUCGAACGAGGGGCGGACGGGUGAGUAAUGUCUGGGAAUCUGCCUGAUGGAGGGGGAUAACUACUGGAAACGGUGGCUAAUACCGCAUACUAUCGGAUGUACCCAGAUGGGAUUAGCUAGUUGGUGGGGUAACGGCUCACCAAGGCGACGAUCACUAGCUGGUCCGAGAGGAUGACCAGCAAAACUGGGACUGAGAAACGGUCCAGACUCCUACGGGAGGCAGCAGUGGGGAAUAUUGCACAAUGGGCGCAAUCCUGAUGAAGCCAUGCCGCGUGUAUGAAGAAGGCCUUCGGGUUGUAAAGUACUUUCAGCGGGGAGGCGUUACCCGCAGAAGAAGCACCGGCUAACUCAGGGCCAGCAGCCGCGGGAAUAC
rnacentral:rRNA from 1 species